rnacentral:lncRNA from 1 species
GGGAAGACUUCCACAGAGGAGGUGGCAAGCCGGAACAAGGCACACAAAUGCCAGCUGAGUGGAAGGUCAACCAGUCCAACUUCUCAUGUUUCAGAAGAGGAAAGCAAGGUCUGGAGAGGGAACGUGGCUUGCCCAAGAUAUGUUUCAAACUUUGAUGAAAAGCAGGGAAGUUUGGGAAGAAAAUCCAAGACUUCUCUGGAGAGAGACCAGGAAACAGGCUCAGAGAGAAGAAGGGAAUUAUGUACCUCGGUUUAGAGCCAAAGUGUCCUGCCUGCAUUCCAGCUGUUUCCAUCCAUGUCCAUGUCAACUGGCAUCUGGAACUACUCGUAGCAGCAUCCACUCAAUUCACCAGGGUGGAAUCGAUAAAUG